GAUGAACGCUGGCGGCGUGCCUAAUACAUGCAAGUCGAGCGCGAGAAUGAGGAGCUUGCUCCUCAUAAUCGAGCGGCGGACGGGUGAGUAACACGUAGGCAACCUACCCUUGAGAUUGGGAUAACUACCGGAAACGGUAGCUAAUACCGGAUACGACUUUUCCACACAAGUGGAAUUGUUAAAAGGCGGAUUUAUCUGCCGCUCAUGGAUGGGCCUGCGGUGCAUUAGCUAGUUGGUGAGGUAGUGGCUGACCAAGGCGACGAUGCAUGGCCGACCUGAGAGGGUGAUCGGCCACACUGGGACUGAGACACGGCCCAGACUCCUACGGGAGGCAGCAGUAGGGAAUCUUCCGCAAUGGACGCAAGUCUGACGGAGCAACGCCGCGUGAGUGAUGAAGGGUUUCGGCUCGUAAAACUCUGUUGUUAAGGAAGAACACUUGAGGUAGUAACUGGCCUUGAGAUGACGGUACUUAACCAGAAAGCCACGGCUAACUACGUGCCAGCAGCCGCCGUAA
rnacentral:rRNA from 1 species